rnacentral:lncRNA from 1 species
CACAAAUUGAAAAUGUAGUUAGGUCUAUGAUAGUUGCAUCUGUACUGCACAUGUACAGACUUUUUUUUCUGGUCAUUAUUCCCUAAACGAUGAGUAUAAUGACUAUUUACAUAGCAUUUACAUUGCUUCAUUUCAGUGAAGUGGUAGGGGUGUAAGUGUGACUGGAGUGGAUUCAAGAAACAAUAAGAGAAGAGACAAUAGCAACAGUCUCAGCAAGUAAUGGAUUCUGAUCUGCAAACACAACCCAGCAUGCCAGCAUUUGCAGAUGUACCCAUGAGCCAACCAAAUAGCAAGUCUCCUUUGCAAGCAAAAGGUCAACUUCUCAUUGUGAAGUCUCCAGUUACAGACUCACAUUCAUUCUCAAAUCACCCUAACACACAGAAAACAGACAUAUUUACUUUUCUCAUGAUUCAUGGGAGAAUUUUGCUCUGAAACAAAGUCAACAGCCAAAUCUCUCCUCAGCAAGCUGAAAAGCACAUCCCAUACUGGUCUCUGGGUGAAAGACCCUCUAGUAAACUUGGUGAGAGUGACAAGAAAAAAAGGGAUUUUUUAGAUUAGAAGAAAAUGUUCCUAUUUCACUACAGUGUCCUUUGGACCUAAAUACUCUUCAUUCUGAGUCACAUUUCCUAUGAGAUGUUACCAAGG